rnacentral:rRNA from 1 species
AGAAUCAACGCUGGCGGCGUGCCUCAGACAUGCGAGUCGAACGCGAAAGUCCCCUUCGGGGGCAAGUAGAGUGGCGCACGGGUGAGUAACACGUAGGUAAUCUACCUUCGGAUGGGGAAUAACAAUCGGAAACGGUUGCUAAUACCGCAUAAUGCAGCGGCACCUAAUGGUGACAGUUGUUAAAGCGGGGGAUCGAAAGACCUCGCGUCUGAAGAGGAGCCUGCGGCGGAUUAGCUAGUUGGUAGGGUAACGGCUUACCAAGGCAACGAUCC